GAUGAACGCUGGCGGCGUGCCUAACACAUGCAAGUCGAGCGAUCUUCUUCGGAAGAGAGCGGCGGACGGGUGAGUAACGCGUGGGUAACCUGCCUCAUACACAUGGAUAACAUACCGCAAGGUAUGCUAAUACAAGAUGAUAUAAGAGAUUCGCAUGGAUUUCUUAUCAAAGCUCCGGCGGUAUGAGAUGGACCUGCGUCUGAUUAGCUAGUUGGUAAGGUAACGGCUUACCAAGGCGACGAUCAGUAGCCGACCUGAGAGGGUGAUCGGCCACAUUGGAACUGAGACACGGUCCAAACUCCUACGGGAGGCAGCAGUGGGGAAUAUUGCACAAUGGGCGAAAGCCUGAUGCAGCAACGCCGCGUGAGCGAUGAAGGCCUUCGGGUCGUAAAGCUCUGUCCUCAAGGAAGAUAAUGACGGUACUUGAGGAGGAAGCCCCGGCUAACUACGUGCCAGCAGCCGCAGUAA
rnacentral:rRNA from 1 species